UACGGGGGGAGCAAGCGUUGUUCGGAUUUACUGGGCGUAAAGGGCGCGUAGGCGGCCAGCACAAUUCAGUUGUGAAAACUCGAGGCUCAACCUCGAGACGCCGAUGGAAACCAUCUGACUAGAGUCCGGAAGAGGAGAGUGGAAUUCCUGGUGUAGCGGUGAAAUGCGCAGAUAUCAGGAAGAACACCCGUGGCUAAGGCGGCUCUCUAGUACGGUACUGACGCUGAGACGCGAAAGCGUGGGGAGCGAACAGG
rnacentral:rRNA from 1 species